rfam:Clostridium sp. CAG:413 genomic scaffold, scf95
AUUUGCGAGGAUAAAAACACGUCCCGGUAGGUAGUCCGGGAGUUCGCCGGCACGAAGUCGUCGGAUCGGUAACCUGCCUCCUUAGGUUGUCCGUCCCUUGCAAUUAUCCA